rnacentral:rRNA from 1 species
AUUGAACGCUGGCGGCAUGCUUUACACAUGCAAGUCGAGCGGCAGCGCGGGGGCAACCCUGGCGGCGAGCGGCGAACGGGUGAGUAAUGCAUCGGAACGUACCCUGGAGUGGGGGAUAACGCCGCGAAAGCGGCGCUAAUACCGCAUAUGCUCUGAGGAGGAAAGUGGGGGACCGCAAGGCCUCACGCUCUGGGAGCGGCCGAUGUCCGAUUAGCUAGUUGGUGGGGUAAAGGCUUACCAAGGCGACGAUCGGUAGCUGGUCUGAGAGGAUGAUCAGCCACACUGGGACUGAGACACGGCCCAGACUCCUACGGGAGGCAGCAGUGGGGAAUUUUGGACAAUGGGGGCAACCCUGAUCCAGCCAUGCCGCGUGAGUGAAGAAGGCCUUCGGGUUGUAAAGCUCUUUUGGUCGGGAAGAAAGUGCCUUGCUUAAUACGCGGGGUAUUUGACGGUACCGGCAGAAUAAGCACCGGCUAACCACGUGCCAGCCGCCGCCGUAAGAC